GGACAUGUGCCCGAAAGACAAGGACUACUUUGAUAGAGUAGAACAUAGGAGUUCAAACCCCCUCAUUUCCU
rnacentral:tRNA from 1 species